GAUGAACGCUGGCGGCGUGCCUAACACAUGCAAGUCGAACGAAGCACCCUGAUUCGAUUCCUCGGAUGAAGAUCUUGGUGACUGAGUGGCGGACGGGUUAGUAACGCGUGGGUAACCUGCCUCAUACAGGGGGAUAACAGUUAGAAAUGACUGCUAAUACCGCAUAAGACCACAGCACCGCAUGGUGCAGGGGUAAAAACUCCGGUGGUAUGAGAUGGACCCGCGUCUGAUUAGGUAGUUGGUGGGGUAACGGCCUACCAAGCCGACGAUCAGUAGCCGACCUGAGAGGAUGACCGGCCACAUUGGGACUGAGACACGGCCCAGACUCCUACGGGAGGCAGCAGUGGGGAAUAUUGCACAAUGGGGGAAACCCUGAUGCAGCGACGCCGCGUGAGCGAUGAAGUAUUUCGGUAUGUAAAGCUCUAUCAGCAGGGAAGAAAAUGACGGUACCUGGAUAAGAAGCACCGGCUAAAUACGUG
rnacentral:rRNA from 1 species